rnacentral:lncRNA from 1 species
GCAUAUUGCAUGGGCUCAAGGCAUGAAUUUUAAAUAUAAAUUUUUUAAAAAAAAUUAGGGAAAUCGAUUUACCCAAUUAGCUAAAUCGAUUUCCCCUGCGUAGACACCAAAAAUAAGCCUUUUUUUCACAGAGGAUAUUUGGUUCCCCCCACUUUCUCACUUGCUUUCCCUAUAAAUAGAUGCAUUAUUCCCUCUCUUUUUUCAUGCUUUCUAACCCCCAAAAAUUCUGAA